rnacentral:rRNA from 1 species
GAUUAUGGCUCAGGAUGAACGCUAGCUACAGGCUUAACACAUGCAAGUCGAGCGGAACUGCUUCGGCAGUUUAGCGGCAGACGGGUGAGUAACACGUAUCCAACCUUCCCCUUACUCGGGUAUAGCCUCGGGAAACUGAGAGUAAUCCCCGAUGUGGUGUACGCUUCGCAUGUAAUGCACACCAAAGAUUAAUCGGUAAGGGAUGGGGAUGCGUUCCAUUAGCUAGUAGGCGGGGUAACGGCCCACCUAGGCGAUGAUGGAUAGGGGUUCUGAGAGGAAGGUCCCCCACAUUGGAACUGCGACACGGUCCAAACUCCUACGGGAGGCAGCAGUGAGGAAUAUUGGUCAAUGGCCGAGAGGAACUGAACCAGCCAAGUAGCGUGCAGGAAUGACGGCCCUACGGGUUGUAAACUGCUUUUGUGCGGGAAUAACGGUCGACACGUGUGUUGAUGUGCAUGUACCGUACGAAUAAGGAUCGGCUAACUCCGUGCCAGCCGCAGC